GAGGGGCAGCGGGAUUGAAGCUUGCUUCAAUUGCCGGCGACCGGCGCACGGGUGAGUAACGCGUAUCCAACCUUCCGUACACUCAGGGAUAGCCUUUCGAAAGAAAGAUUAAUACCUGAUGGUAUGAUGAGAUUGCAUGAUAGCAUCAUUAAAGAUUCAUCGGUGUACGAUGGGGAUGCGUUCCAUUAGGUAGUAGGCGGGGUAACGGCCCACCUAGCCUACGAUGGAUAGGGGUUCUGAGAGGAAGGUCCCCCACAUUGGAACUGAGACACGGUCCAAACUCCUACGGGAGGCAGCAGUGAGGAAUAUUGGUCAAUGGACGAGAGUCUGAACCAGCCAAGUAGCGUGAAGGAUGAAGGUCCUACGGAUUGUAAACUUCUUUUAUAAGGGAAUAAAACCUCCCACGUGUGGGAGCUUG
rnacentral:rRNA from 1 species